AUUAAUUCGAUGCAACGCGAAAACCUUACUACCCUUGACAUGUCCGGAAUCCCGAAGAGAUUUGGGAGUGCUCGCAAGAGAACCGGAACACAGGUGCUGCAUGGCUGUCGUCAGCUCGUGUCGUGAGAUGUUGGGUUAAGUCCCGCAACGAGCGCAACCCUUGUCAUUAGUUGCCAUCAUUUGGUUGGGCACUCUAAUGAGACUGCCGGUGACAAACCGGAGGAAGGUGGGGAUGACGUCAAGUCCUCAUGGCCCUUAUGGGUAGGGCUUCACACGUCAUACAAUGGUCGGUACAGAGGGUUGCCAACCCGCGAGGGGGAGCUAAUCCCACAAAGCCGAUCGUAGUCCGGAUCGCAGUCUGCAACUCGACUGCGUGAAGUCGGAAUCGCUAGUAAUCGUGGAUCAGCAUGUCACGGUGAAUACGUUCCCGGGUCUU
rnacentral:rRNA from 1 species